rnacentral:rRNA from 1 species
UUAAGCGACCAAGCGUACACGGUGGAUGCCCUGGCAGUCAGAGGCGAUGAAGGACGUGCUAAUCUGCGAAAAGCGCCGGCGAGGUGAUAUGAACCCUUGACCCGGCGAUGUCCGAAUGGGGAAACCCAGUGUGACUCGUCACACUAUCAUUAACUGAAUCCAUAGGUUAAUGAGGCGAACCGGGGGAACUGAAACAUCUAAGUACCCCGAGGAAAAGAAAUCAACCGAGAUUCCCCCAGUAGCGGCGAGCGAACGGGGAGGAGCCCAGAGCCUGAAUCAGCAGGUGUGUUAGUGGAAGUGUCUGGAAAGGCACGCGAUACAGGGUGAGAGCCCCGUACACGAAAAUGCACCUGCUGUGAGCUCGAUGAGUAGGGCGGGACACGUGGUAUCCUGUCUGAAUAUGGGGGGACCAUCCUCCAAGGCUAAAUACUCCUGACUGACCGAUAGUGAACCAGUACCGUGAGGGAAAGGCGAAAAGAACCCCGGCGAGGGGAGUGAAAAAGAACCUGAAACCGUGUACGUACAAGCAGUGGGAGCACAGGUUUACCUGUGUGACUGCGUACCUUUUGUAUAAUGGGUCAGCGACUUAUAUUCUGUAGCAAGGUUAACCGAAUAGGGGAGCCGGAGGGAAACCGAGUCUUAACCGGGCGUUAAGUUGCAGGGUAUAGACCCGAAACCCGGUGAUCUAGCCAUGGGCAGGUUGAAGGUUGGGUAACACUAACUGGAGGACCGAACCGACUAAUGUUGAAAAAUUAGCGGAUGACCUGUGGCUGGGGGUGAAAGGCCAAUCAAACCGGGAGAUAGCUGGUUCUCCCCGAAAGCUAUUUAGGUAGCGCCUCGUGAACUCAUCUCCGGGGGUAGAGCACUGUUUCGGCUAGGGGGCCAUCCCGGCUUACCAACCCGAUGCAAACUGCGAAUACCGGAGAAUGUUAUCACGGGAGACACACGGCGGGUGCUAACGUCCGUCGUGAAGAGGGAAACAACCCAGACCGCCAGCUAAGGUCCCAAAGUCAUGGUUAAGUGGGAAACGAUGUGGGAAGGCCCAGACAGCCAGGAUGUUGGCUUAGAAGCAGCCAUCAUUUAAAGAAAGCGUAAUAGCUCACUGGUCGAGUCGGCCUGCGCGGAAGAUGUAACGGGGCUAAACCAUGCACCGAAGCUGCGGCAGCGGCACGCAAGUGUUGUUGGGUAGGGGAGCGUUCUGUAAGCCGUUGAAGGUGUGCUGUGAGGCAUGCUGGAGGUAUCAGAAGUGCGAAUGCUGACAUAAGUAACGAUAAAGCGGGUGAAAAGCCCGCUCGCCGGAAGACCAAGGGUUCCUGUCCAACGUUAAUCGGGCAGGGUGAGUCGACCCCUAAGGCGAGGCCGAAAGGCGUAGUCGAUGGGAAACGGGGUUAAUAUUCCCGUACUUGGUGUUACUGCGAAGGGGGGACGGAGAAGGCUAUGUUGGCCGGGCGACGGUUGUCCCGGUUUAAGCGUGUAGGCUGGUUUUCCAGGCAAAUCCGGAAAAUCAAGGCUGAGGCGUGACGACGAGGCACCACGGUGCUGAAGCAACAAAUGCCCUGCUUCCAGGAAAAGCCUCUAAGCGUCAGGUAACAUCAAAUCGUACCCCAAACCGACACAGGUGGUCAGGUAGAGAAUACCAAGGCGCUUGAGAGAACUCGGGUGAAGGAACUAGGCAAAAUGGUGCCGUAACUUCGGGAGAAGGCACGCUGACAUGUAGGUGAAGCGGUUUACCCGUGGAGCUGAAGUCAGUCGAAGAUACCAAGCUGGCUGCAACUGUUUAUUAAAAACACAGCACUGUGCAAACACGAAAGUGGACGUAUACGGUGUGACGCCUGCCCGGUGCCGGAAGGUUAAUUGAUGGGGUCAGCGCAAGCGAAGCUCCUGAUCGAAGCCCCGGUAAACGGCGGCCGUAACUAUAACGGUCCUAAGGUAGCGAAAUUUCCUUGUCGGGUAAGUUCCGACCUGCACGAAUGGCGUAAUGAUGGCCAGGCUGUCUCCACCCGAGACUCAGUGAAAUUGAACUCGCUGUGAAGAUGCAGUGUACCCGCGGCAAGACGGAAAAGACCCCGUGAACCUUUACUAUAGCUUGACACUGAACACUGGUCCUUGAUGUGCAGGAUAGGUGGGAGGCUUUGAAGCGUGGACGCCAGUCUGCGUGGAGCCGUCCUUGAAAUACCACCCUUUAAUGGCUGGUGUUCUAACGUGGGCCCCUGACCGGGGUUGCGGACAGUGUCUGGUGGGUAGUUUGACUGGGGCGGUCUCCUCCCAAAAGAGUAACGGAGGAGCACGAAGGUUGGCUAAUCCUGGUCGACAUCAGGAGGUUAGUGCAAUGGCAUAAGCCAGCUUGACUGCGAGCGUGACGGCGCGAGCAGGUGCGAAAGCAGGUCAUAGUGAUCCGGUGGUUCUGAAUGGAAAGGGCCAUCGCUCAACGGAUAAAAGGUACUCCGGGGAUAACAGGCUGAUACCGCCCAAGAGUUCAUAUCGACGGCGGUGUUUGGCACCUCGAUGUCGGCUCAUCACAUCCUGGGGCUGAAGUAGGUCCCAAGGGUAUGGCUGUUCGCCAUUUAAAGUGGUACGCGAGCUGGGUUUAGAACGUCGUGAGACAGUUCGGUCCCUAUCUGCCGUGGGCGCUGGAAGAUUGAGGGGGGCUGCUCCUAGUACGAGAGGACCGGAGUGGACGCAUCACUGGUGUUCGGGUUGUCAUGCCAAUGGCACUGCCCGGUAGCUAAAUGCGGAAGAGAUAAGUGCUGAAAGCAUCUAAGCACGAAACUUGCCCCGAGAUGAAUCUUCCCUGAGACUUUAAGUCUCCUGAAGGAACGUUGAAGACGACGACGUUGAUAGGCCGGGUGUGUAAGCGCAGCGAUGCGUUGAGCUAACCGGUACUAAUGAACCGUGAGGCUUAACCUU